rfam:Schistosoma curassoni strain Dakar, Senegal genome assembly, scaffold: SCTD_scaffold0008367
AUCCAGCUGACGAGUCUCAAAUAAGACAAAACUCACGUCUUGGAU